ACGAAAUAAUCGUCAAGCUCGACUCAGACGUCUUUACAGAGAGUAACUCAAAAAUUGGGAAAACAGCAAAUAAAGUAUUCAGCACUCACAAUUAAGUAUGCAACACAGCAGCAAAACCAGACACUGAUGCACAACCAUCAGUACCACAACGACUACACAAUGUGAAAAUAUAGUACCACUAAUCAGGAGGUCUAGAAGGAGUCAUAGUACCACUAAUCAAGAGGUCUAGAAGGAGUCAUAGGUCCACUAAUCAGGAGGUCUAGAAGGAGUCAUAGUUCCACUAAUCAGGAGGUCUAGAAGGAGUCAUAGGUCCACUAAUCAGGAGGUCUAGAAGGAGUCAUAGUACCACUAAUCAGGAGGUCUAGAAGGAGUCAUAGUUCCACUAAUCAGGAGGUCGAGAAGGAGUCAUAGUUCCACUAAUCAGGAGGUCUAGAAGGAGUCAUAGUACCACUAAUCAGGAGGUCUAGAAGGAGUCAUAGUUCCACUAAUCAGGAGGUCGAGAAGGAGUCAUAGGUCCACUAAUCAGGAGGUCUAGAAGGAGUCAUAGUACCACUAAUCAAGAGGUCUAGAAGGAGUCAUAGGUCCACUAAUCAGGAGGUCUAGAAGGAGUCAUAGUUCCACUAAUCAGGAGGUCGAGAAGGAGUCAUAGGUCCACUAAUCAAGAGGUCUAGAAGGAGUCAUAGUUCCACUAAUCAGGAAAUCUAGGAGUCAUAGUAGCACUAAUCAGGAGGUCUAGAAGGAGUCAUAGGUCCACUAAUCAGGAGGUCUAGAAGGAGUCAUAGUUCCACUAAUCAGGAGGUCUAGAAGGAGUCAUAGUUCCACUAAUCAGGAGGUCUAGAAGGAGUCAUAGUUCCACUAAUCAGGAGGUCUAGAAGGAGUCAUAGUUCCACUAAUCAGGAGGUCUAGAAGGAGUCAUAGUUCCACUAAUCAGGAGGUCUAGAAGGAGUCAUAGUUCCACUAAUCAGAGGUCUAGAAGAAGUCAUAGUACCACUAAUAAGGAGGUCUAGAAGGAGUCAUAGUUCCACUAAUCAGGAGUCACAGAAGGAGUCAUAGUACCACUAGUCAGGGCAUCUAUUGUGUCAGUUUUGUGUCUUUGUGUGACUUGUUUACAACGUUUUGUGUCAUUGUGCAUCUUUGCGUGUUGUUCUUGUUCUUUAGGGUUUCUGUUGGACUCAAACAGAUGAAGGACAUCAGGAACCUGUUCUGUGUUUAUACAGACCGUCAGGAAAGUUAAAUUUCAGUGUU